CCUACGGGUGGCAGCAGUAGGGAAUAUUGCUCAAUGGGGGAAACCCUGAUGCAGCAACGCCGCGUGGGGGAAGAAGGUUUUCGGCUUGUAAACUCCUUUUAUCAGAGAAGAUAAUGAGGGUGUCUAACGAAUAAACAGCAGCUAACUACGAACCAGCAGCCGCGGUAAUACGGAGGGUGCAAGCGUUACUCGGAAUCACUGGGUGUAAAGGGCGCGUAGGCGGGAUAGCAAGUCAGAUGUGAAAGCCCAUGGCGUAACCAUAGAACUGCAUUGGAAACUGUUAUUCUAGAGUAUGGGAGAGGUAGGUGGAAUUCUUGGUGUAGGGGUAAAAUGCGUAGAGAUUAAGAGGAAUACUCAUUGCGAAGGCGACCUGCUAGAACAUAACUGACGUUGAUGCGCGAAAGCGUGGGGAGCAAACAGGAUUAGAUACCCGUGUAGUC
rnacentral:rRNA from 1 species